rnacentral:rRNA from 1 species
UCGGGAAUUUUGGGCAAUGGGCGAAAGCCUGACCCAGCAACGCCGCGUGAAGGAUGAAGUAUUUCGGUAUGUAAACUUCGAAAGAAUAGGAAGAAUAAAUGACGGUACUAUUUAUAAGGUCCGGCUAACUACGUGCCAGCAGCCGCGGUAAUACGUAGGGACCAAGCGUUGUUCGGAUUUACUGGGCGUAAAGGGCGCGUAGGCGGCAAUUCAAGUCAUCUGUGAAAUCUCCGGGCUUAACUCGGAACGGUCAGAUGAUACUGCUUUGCUAGAGUGCAGAAGGGGCAAUCGGAAUUCUUGGUGUAGCGGUGAAAUGCGUAGAUAUCAAGAGGAACACCUGAGGUGAAGACGGGUUGCUGGGCUGACACUGACGCUGAGGCGUGAAAGCCAGGGGAGCAAA